rnacentral:rRNA from 1 species
UACGUAGGGUGCAAGCGUUGUCCGGAAUUAUUGGGCGUAAAGAGCUCGUAGGCGGCUCAGUAAGUCAGGUGUGAAAACUCCAGGCUCAACCUGGAGACGCCACCUGAUACUGCUGUGGCUAGAGUCCGGUAGGGGAGCAUGGAAUUCCUGGUGUAGCGGUGAAAUGCGCAGAUAUCAGGAGGAACACCAGUGGCGAAGGCGGUGCUCUGGGCCGGAACUGACGCUGAGGAGCGAAAGCGUGGGGAGCAAACAGG